AUUAAACGCUGGCGGCAUGCCUUACACAUGCAAGUCGAACGGCAGCACGGGGGCAACCCUGGUGGCGAGUGGCGAACGGGUGAGUAAAGCAUCGGAACGUGCCCUGGAGUGGGGGAUAACGUAGCGAAAGUUACGCUAAUACCGCAUAUUCUGUGAGCAGGAAAGCAGGGGAUCGCAAGACCUUGCGCUCUGGGAGCGGCCGAUGUCGGAUUAGCUAGUUGGUGGGGUAAAGGCCUACCAAGGCGACGAUCCGUAGCGGGUCUGAGAGGAUGAUCCGCCACACUGGGACUGAGACACGGCCCAGACUCCUACGGGAGGCAGCAGUGGGGAAUAUUGCGCAAUGGGCGAAAGCCUGACGCAGCCACGCCGCGUGAGCGAUGAAGGCCUUGGUCGUAAGACUCUGUGGGGAGGAGAAGAAUAAAGACCUGUGAAGAGCAGGCC
rnacentral:rRNA from 1 species